GACUCCUUGGUUAGGGUAUGUUCCUCACAUGAGUGCAUGGACACACAUCUGGAGACUGAAUGAAGCUCUCUUGAGCUCUCUGUGGCCCUCGGUCCUGUUCUUCCUCUCUGGUCCUCUAUGAACCCUGGCCAGCAUCCUCUGGACUUCCUACUCUCUCACCAAUAGGGUUCUCUCCUCAGGGGUGAGCUCUAGCAACUUUCUCAAGGCAGGAGCAGAAAACAACUUAAGAACUUAGCACAUUUGUUUCUUAUCACACAUAGCUCACUGUCUUGGCUCUGUCCUCUCCCUUUCCUCUCUUCCUUUUCCUCCUCCUCCCUCUUCUUUCUCUUCCUCCUUCUCCCCUUCUUUCUUCUCUUUCCUCCCUUUUUUUUCUUUUCCUUUUUUCUGAACAGUAAUCCAAGUUCCCAUGCAUGCUAGCCAAGUGCGGUGCCACAGGUCUACCCAGCCAGAUCAUGGAUGCUCUUUCUACUCAUCUUUUAGACAGUUUGCCGUGUGGCCAUUCCUCACUCUUUCCCCACCUCUCUGCAAGAUCUCAUUCCAAAACUUCAAGCAAACCCAUAUGCUGAGUCUCAAAUUUCCAUUCUCAUCCCAGUCUAUCAUCCGAACUCCCACACUACCCACCCAAUGACUUACCAUCACAUUUUUCUAGAUAUUCCCACAAGCUGCUUGAACUCAACAUGCAGAAAUGGAAUAGCACCCCCUAUGCCUUCCUGGCCCACCUGACAUCUCGGUUUGUCACGUAAACCAUGGGUAGCUCUAUCUGCUUCCUUUCCUUUCCAGGAUGUUCACCGAGAUUGUGUUUCUGUCAUUGUUCACUACCAUGUAGAACAGCCUGUGGCAUAAGGAGGGUCUCAAUUAAUACAGUGAACACAUUGGUGCCAAAUAUAAGGGGGAUAAUCUGAGAGAGGGGAGGGAAACAGUUAAAAAUUAAUUAGUCUCGCUGCAUUGGAUUUGCCGUGUCCCUAAAAAGGGUGAAUCGGAAAGCACAGAAAGACAAGGAUGAGAGUUGGUUUUAUUUCUGGUGACUGUGAAGAACCUGGGGAUAAUCAGGAAGAGAAAACUGAGCAGAAAUAACGGAAGGAAGUUAGCUUUCUAGGCUCGUACAUACUUAACACUUGCCUCUUAGUAUGGUGUCUCAAUGAAGCACAUCUAUGGUUCCCUUCUGUGCUGAAUAUGUGCUCAUACCAAGUGCACUGCUUUUAGAAGUGUCUUUGAGUCACUUUAUACAAAGCUGUCCUUCUCAUCAAUCAUAUUAUAAAUUCUGACUGGGCUUAACAUGCCUAUUUUAUCCAUAGUUUGGGAGACCAGGAGCAAGAACUUUAUUUCUUUGUGGGCAUGUGUGUCGCCAAGACAGUGAUUGCGAGCCUUCCCUAAGGCGGUGCAUACAGAAAUAUUGUACGUGAAAAAAGCAGAGAUGUGGGGCAGACAUUGGGCUCUCAGUCUCGUCUGAUUCUGAGACACAUGUGUACCAUACUUCCAUCCACACACCGGUCCUGCUUGCAUUAUAUAGAAGAACUGUGCUGGUUCACGUUGGCAAGCCGACUUCAGCAUGCCUAAAGCUAUUUCCCAUGGAAAUCUUGGCCCAGCUCCUCUGGAUGCAAACUCGCUGGCGGAGCAUGCGUGUUUGAGUUUGGGGAGAGUUCCCAGCAUGCUCUACUUCUGUUCAAGGGAGCUGGACGGAACUAGGGCCCAGAGGAAACUGGAGAGCAGGCCAGGCAGGUGUGAAGGAUUCAACGGUGGCCACAAUGUGUGAAGAGCAACAGUUAAACCUAAUUAAGGCACCUGCUGAACAUCACACAAAUUUGGAAGAGACAAAGCAAUUGCUUGACAGAGUUUCUGUAGUUGUUUGAGAAGCCACACCUCGGAGUAAUCCACAGAAAAGAGAAGGAUGGGGAACCUAGUUUCUUCCUGUCAUCUUUUCCUCCAUCAAGGUUCUUCUCAAGAUUGCAGAUUCUAUCAUCUUCUACUACAAUAUUAUGGACUCCCAGAACUACAAAGUCUAUUGAUCUCCAAAUCUCAGAGGACCUGAUAUGAAUACCUUGGAAGACCAACCACACUGCUCGAGGCUAAGACACUGACAUCUGUCUGAUAAAUGAAUGCCUUCUCUUCUAUACAACUUAGUUCUUCAGUAUCCUUUUUAUCUCAUACAUGUGUCUACUGUACGCUGAGCAUACUCCUCCCACAGCUUCCUUCAUUCCACUCAGACCCUCUCACUUCUGCUUUUGUGUUUUAUAGCCUUACAGGGUCUCUUUCAUCCACAUUUGGUAUUUGUUUUCUUAAC
ensembl:lncRNA LOC108352070 uncharacterized LOC108352070